CAGUCGCCGCGGGAAUACGAAGGGGGCUAGCGUUGCUCGGAAUUAUUGGGCGUAAAGGGUGCGUAGGCGGCCCCGCAAGUCUCAUGUGAAAUCUACAGGCUCAACUUGAAGUCUGCAUGGGAAACUGCGGGGCUGGAGUAUGGGAGAGGUGAGUGGAAUUCCUGGAGUAGCGGUGAAAUGCGUAGAUAUCAGGAGGAACACCUGUGGCGAAAGCGGCUCACUGGACCAUAACUGACGCUGAGGCACGAAAGCUAGGGGAGCAAACAGGAUUAGAUACCCCCGUAGUCCCUGUCUCUUAUAC
rnacentral:rRNA from 1 species